rnacentral:lncRNA from 10 species
GCUGCAUGGCCUACCCAUAGCGGCGGUGGGAGCCUCCGCCGGGGAGAGCCCGCUCGGGGGCAGGAAGUGGCCCGGCCCUCCUCGUGGAGGGCGUUUCCGGAGCGCCUACUGUGCUCCUUGCCGGGGUGGGGGUCGUUACCGAGUGGGAACUUCUGCAAAUCCUGACUUUUGUCACUUCGCGCCCCGCACAAGAUGUCCUGCCGGCGGUGCGAUUGGUCCCGUUGCUUCGAGGGGAAACUGAGGCCACUUAGUCCGGGCACUUACCCGCAGCUAGUUAAGGACUAGGCUCUGAUGGAGACGCUUGUUACGACCUCAAUGGCCUGUAGAAUCUGGGAGGCCGCCUCCGACCUAAGCCCAAAAAGCACAUGAUCGGGCUCACAGGGGGCGGCCAGAGGUGAAAACAGCCAACGCUUUACAACGACGCUGUGCGGGGCACUUCGUGUGUGUCAUCCCGUCUCAUCCUCGGGUGAUAGGAACUGUUCAUUCGGGAAAAUUGCAAACAACUAAAUACCCCUCACCAGGAGCUGGCCCAUUAUAGCAACUCUGAGACCUCUCUACCGCAGGCUCUUAAAAUGGGGGUCUCACUGUGUCACCCAGGCUGGAGUGCAGUGGUGUGAUCUCAGCUCACAGCAACCUAUAUCUCCCAGGUUCAAGAGAUUCUCACCUCAGCCUCCCGAGUAACUGGGAUUACAGGCUGGUCUUGAACUCCUGAGCUCAAGUGAUUCUCGUGCCUCAGCCUCCUGAGGAGCUAGGAUUACAGGCAGGAGCCAUCACACCUGUCAGGAGCAGCAUAUUUGAAGUCAGGACUUUUC